rnacentral:rRNA from 1 species
GACGAACGCUGGCGGCGUGCCUAAUACAUGCAAGUAGAACGCACAGUUUAUACCGUAGCUUGCUACACCAUACACUGUGAGUUGCGAACGGUUGAGUAACGCGUAGGUAACCUGCCUGGUAGCGGGGGAUAACUAUUGGAAACGAUAGCUAAUACCGCAUAAUAUUGAUUAUUGCAUGAUAAUUGAUUUAAAGAUGCUAUUGCAUCACUACCAGAUGGACCUGCGUUGUAUUAGCUAGUAGGUGAGGUAACGGCUCACCUAGGCGACGAUACAUAGCCGAGCUGAGAGGGUGAUCGGCCACACUGGGAAUGAGACAAGGCCCAGACUCCUAAGGGAGGCAGCAGGAGGGAAUCUUCGGAAAGGGAGGAAAGGCUGAACGAGCAAAGCCGCGGGAGGGAAGAAGGGUUUCGGAUCGGAAAGGUCGGUUGUAAGAGAAGAACGGGUGUGAGAGUGGAAAGUUCACACUGUGACGGUAUCUUAACAGAAAGGGACGGCUAACUACGUG